rnacentral:rRNA from 1 species
AGAGUUUGAUCCUGGCUCAGGAUGAACGCUGGCGGCGUGCUUAACACAUGCAAGUCGAGCGAAGCAUAAGAGAGGAAGUUUUAAAUGGAAUCUAUUAUGACUGAGCGGCGGACGGGUGAGUAACGCGUGGGGAACCUGCCCUAUACAGGGGGAUAACAGUUAGAAAUGACUGCUAAUACCGCAUAAGCGCACGGGGCCGCAUGGCCCUGUGUGAAAAACGAUAGUGGUAUAGGAGGGACCCGCGUCUGAUUAGGUAGUUGGUGAGGUAACGGCCCACCAAGCCGACGAUCAGUAGCCGACCUGAGAGGGUGACCGGCCACAUUGGGACUGAGACACGGCCCAAACUCCUACGGGAGGCAGCAGUGGGGAAUAUUGCACAAUGGGGGAAACCCUGAUGCAGCGACGCCGCGUGAGUGAAGAAGUAUUUCGGUAUGUAAAGCUCUAUCAGCAGGGAAGAAGAAGGACGGUACCUGAGUAAGAAGCCCCGGCUAACUACGUGCCAGCAGCCGCGGUAAUACGUAGGGGGCAAGCGUUAUCCGGAUUUACUGGGUGUAAAGGGAGCGUAGACGGCGAAGAAAGUCUGAAGUGAAAGCCCGCGGCUCAACCGCGGAAUGGCUUUGGAAACUUUUUUGCUGGAGUACCGGAGAGGUAAGCGGAAUUCCUAGUGUAGCGGUGAAAUGCGUAGAUAUUAGGAGGAACACCAGUGGCGAAGGCGGCUUACUGGACGGCAACUGACGUUGAGGCUCGAAAGCGUGGGGAGCAAACAGGAUUAGAUACCCUGGUAGUCCACGCCGUAAACGAUGAUUACUAGGUGUCGGUGGGUAUGGACCCAUCGGUGCCGCAGCAAACGCAAUAAGUAAUCCACCUGGGGAGUACGUUCGCAAGAAUGAAACUCAAAGGAAUUGACGGGGACCCGCACAAGUGGUGGAGCAUGUGGUUUAAUCCGAAGCAACGCGAAGAACCUUACCAAGUCUUGACAUCCUCCUGAAUACAGGGUAAUGCCUGUAGUCCUUCGGGACAGGAGAGACAGGUGGUGCAUGGUUGUCGUCAGCUCGUGUCGUGAGAUGUUGGGUUAAGUCCCGCAACGAGCGCAACCCUUAUCUUUAGUAGCCAGCAGGUAAAGCUGGGCACUCUAGAGAGACUGCCGGGGAUAACCCGGAGGAAGGUGGGGAUGACGUCAAAUCAUCAUGCCCCUUAUGAUUUGGGCUACACACGUGCUACAAUGGCGUAAACAGAGGGAAGCGAGCCUGCGAGGGGGAGCAAAUCCCAAAAAUAACGUCCCAGUUCGGAUUGUAGUCUGCAACCCGACUACAUGAAGCUGGAAUCGCUAGUAAUCGCUGAUCAGAAUGCCGCGGUGAAUACGUUCCCGGGUCUUGCACUCACCGCCCGUCA